AUACGGAGGAUGCGAGCGUUAUCCGGAUUUAUUGGGUUUAAAGGGAGCGUAGGUGGGAUAUUAAGUCAGCUGUGAAAGUUUGGGGCUCAACCUUAAAAUUGCAGUUGAUACUGGUUUCCUUGAGUACGGUACAGGUGGGCGGAAUUCGUGGUGUAGCGGGGAAAUGCUUAGAUAUCACGAAGAACUCCGGUCGCGAAGGCAGCUCACCGGGCCGGAACUGACACUGAUGCUCGAAAGUGCGGGUAUCAAACAGGAUUAGAUACCCUGGUAGUCCGCACAGUAAACGAUGAAUACUCGCUGUUUGCGAUACACGGUAAGCGGCCAAGCGAAAGCGUUAAGUAUUCCACCUGGGGAGUACGCCGGCAACGGUGAAACUCAAAUGAAUUGACGGGG
rnacentral:rRNA from 1 species